rnacentral:rRNA from 1 species
GAGUUUGAUCAUGGCUCAGAACGAACGCUGGCGGCAGGCUUAACACAUGCAAGUCGAACGAGAAACUUCUUCGGAAGUGGAAAGUGGCAGACGGGUGAGUAACGCGUGGGAAUCUGCCCAGAGGUUCGGGACAACCAUUGGAAACGAUGGCUAAUACCGGAUAAGCCCGCAAGGGGUAAGAUUUAUCGCCUUUGGAUGAGCCCGCGUAAGAUUAGCUAGUUGGUAGGGUAAAAGCCUACCAAGGCUACGAUCUUUAGCUGGUCUGAGAGGAUGAUCAGCCACAUUGGGACUGAGACACGGCCCAGACUCCUACGGGAGGCAGCAGUGGGGAAUAUUGCGCAAUGGGGGAAACCCUGACGCAGCCAUGCCGCGUGAGUGACGAAGGCCUUAGGGUUGUAAAGCUCUUUCGCUAGGGAAGAUAAUGACGGUACCUAGUAAAGAAGCCCCGGCUAACUCCGUGCCAGCAGCCGCGGUAAUACGGAGGGGGCUAGCGUUGUUCGGAAUCACUGGGCGUAAAGCGCGCGUAGGCGGACUGAUCAGUUGGGGGUGAAAGCCCGGAGCUCAACUCCGGAACUGCCUUCAAUACUGUCAGUCUUGAGAUCGAGAGAGGUAAGCGGAAUUCCGAGUGUAGAGGUGAAAUUCGUAGAUAUUCGGAAGAACACCAGUGGCGGAGGCGGCUUACUGGCUCGAUACUGACGCUGAGGUGCGAAAGC